AAACUCUGGAGAAUCCCGUUAUCGGGUGCCGAAGGUGCAAGUCAUUUAUAUGGAUGGCGAAACUCUCAGGCAAAAGGACAGAGAUA
rnacentral:ncRNA from 1 species